rnacentral:rRNA from 1 species
AGUGAACGCUGGCGGUAGGCCUAACACAUGCAAGUCGAACGGCAGCACAGUAAGAGCUUGCUCUUACGGGUGGCGAGUGGCGGACGGGUGAGGAAUACAUCGGAAUCUACUUUUUCGUGGGGGAUAACGUAGGGAAACUUACGCUAAUACCGCAUACGACCUACGGGUGAAAGCAGGGGAUCUUCGGACCUUGCGCGAUUGAAUGAGCCGAUGUCGGAUUAGCUAGUUGGUGGGGUAAAGGCCCACCAAGGCGACGAUCCGUAGCUGGUCUGAGAGGAUGAUCAGCCACACUGGAACUGAGACACGGUCCAGACUCCUACGGGAGGCAGCAGUGGGGAAUAUUGGACAAUGGGCGCAAGCCUGAUCCAGCCAUACCGCGUGGGUGAAGAAGGCCUUCGGGUUGUAAAGCACUUUUGUUGGGAAAGAAAAGCAGCAGGUUAAUACCCCGCUGUUCUGACGGUACCCAAAGAAUAAGCACCGGCUAACUUCGUG